rnacentral:rRNA from 1 species
AUGGAUGAGAUAUGCUUCUAUGGUCACGUAAACUUCACCGCCAAAAGCAGCUUGGAGAAUUCAAAGGAGGAGUUAUUGUUCGCGGAGGUAUAUUACGACCACGCCCGCGAUACAUGGAUACCCACCUGCAUAGUUUCUCUCCAAGGGGAAAAAGGAGUUGGUGGGGUUAAGGGCAAGGACAUUUGUGGUCCCUAUCGUGGCAUGGAGAUUCGUGUCGACACUCAGCAUUGCUACGCCUGUCUAGAAGCCGUGAAGCACCCGGAGGAUGGGACAUUGUAUGAGACCGGUCAUUACGUGGAUAGUUGCUAUGGCUAUUUGUUGUAG